AUUGAACGCUGGCGGCAGGCCUAACACAUGCAAGUCGAACGAGUGGCGGACGGGUGAGUAAUGUCUGGGACACUGCCCGAUGGAGGGGGAUAACUACUGGAAACGGUAGCUAAUACCGCAUACCAUCGGAUGUGCCCAGAUGGGAUUAGCUAGUAGGUGGGGUAACGGCUCACCUAGGCGACGAUCCCUAGCUGGUCUGAGAGGAUGACCGGCCACACUGGAAAUUGGACACGGUCCAGACUCCAACGGGAGGCAGCAGUGGGGAAUAUUGGACAAUGUGCGAUAGCCUGAUGCAGCCAGGCGGCGUGUAUGAAGAAGGCCUUCGGGUUGUAAAGUACUUUCAGCGAGGAGGCGUUACUCGCAGAAGAAGCACCGGCUAACUCCGUGCCAGCAGCCGCGGUAAUAC
rnacentral:rRNA from 1 species